rnacentral:ncRNA from 1 species
UUUAAAGUUAACUUUUAUAGAUUUAAAAUUUGAUUAUGAUUUUUGAAGUAUUAAAAUGAUAUUAUUUAAAUUUAAUUUAUUUUGUGGGCAAUGAUUAUUUACCCCGGCAAUUAAUUAUUUGUAGAAUACUUGUUCCAGAAUAAUCGGCUAGGCUUGUUAAAUUUAUACUUUAUUUUUGGUUAAUUAUGUUAUUAUUUAUUUUUAUUAAAUAAUUUUAGGUUAAAUUUUAAUUAUUUUUAGUUGUUUGAUAUAAUUUUAAGUUUUGAAUAACGAAUUAGAUUAGUACCUAAUUAGUCAAAAGUUAAAAGUGCAGGAGUAAAGUAGUAUUUAAACUGUAAGAAUAUUGGCAGACUUUCUAAAUUAUCUUUGGAGGUUGAGUGAUAAUUGAGAACCCUCAUUAACUACUAAUUUAUUUGACUCAUGUAUGAUCGUUUUUUAUAUACUUUAGGUAUAUAAUAAAAGAUUUUUAAUCUAUAAAAAUAGAUAUAUAUUUGGUUUAUGAAUAAGUAAUAUUUGACCUACAAUAUUUUAUGGUGUGGAUCUUUAAUUUUGAUUUUUGGUGAAAAUGUAAAAGACAGUAAGGAAAUUUUUAUGGUUUCUUGAAGAUUAUUUAGAGGUGGUACAAAUCAUCCAUCAAUUGCCUAAAGGGGAGUAAGUUGUAGUAAAGUAGAUUUAGGGGAACCUUAAUCUAAUAGU